GCCGGGGUGGUGGAAUUGGUAGACACACUGGACUUAAAAUCCAGAGUAAUAAACUGCGUGCGGGUUCAACUCCCGUCCCCGGCACCA
rnacentral:tRNA from 1 species